GUCUACAGCCAUACCACCCUGAACGCACCUGAUCUCAGAAGCUAAGCAGGGUCGGGCCUGGUUAGUACUUGGGUGGGAGAGGAAGAACCAGGAAAAGGAGACA
rnacentral:rRNA from 1 species